GACAAGGCCCCAGGCCCUACGGGGCGCAGCGGGUGCGAAACUUCCGCAAUGCGUGCAAGCGCGACGGAGCAACUCUCAGUGCCGAUGGUCUAACGACCGUCGGCUUUCUGAAAUGCAAAAAGUUUCAGGUAAUAAGGGCCGGGUAAGACUGGUGCCAGCCGCCGCGGUAACACCAGCGGCUCAAGUGGUAGCCGAUUUUAUUGGGCCUAAAGCGUCCGUAGCCGGACUAGCAAGUCUUUUAUGAAAUCGGACGACUUAAUCGUUCGGCUUGCAAGGGAAACUGCUAAUCUUGGGAUCGGUAGGCGUUAAGGGUACUCCAGGGGUAGCGGUGAAAUGCUAUAAUCCCUGGGGGACCGCCAGUGGCGAAAGCGCUUGGCGAGGCCGAAUCCGACGGUGAGGGACGAAGGCCAGGGGCGCGAACCGGAUUAGAUACCCGGGUAGUCCUGGCUGUAAAGGAUGUGGACUAGGUGCUUGGUGUUCCUCGAGAACACUAGGUGCCGAAGGGAAGCCGUUAAGUCCACCGCCUGGGAAGAACGGUCGCAAGG
rnacentral:rRNA from 1 species